GCUGGAGAUCCCUGCUUACCUGAAGCUUUCUAAAGGCUGCACAAGCACAGACUAUUCUUGGAAGCAACAUCCCUGCUGGGCUGUCUUCAAAACCACAGAACAUAUAUUCUCAUUCAGAAAGGAAAGGCGGAAUGAAAAUUGGCUGAAGGAUCAUAAAAAGAAGAUAAUAGUCCAUUGAGGAGAAGUACCCAGUGAAAUGCCUCAGGGACAUGCAUUAGGACUCAUGCUAUUUAAUUUAUUUUGUUUAGAUGACAAGGCUGGCUCUAUAGGACACAUUUCAGCUGUGUGACACUAGACCACUUAACUUCAAACAAAGAAACAUAGCUAAUGAUCAACACAGUGUUUUUUUUUUUUUUUUUUUCCCCCAAGUGUUUGUCAUGAGUCUGUGCUGCUGUAUUUCUCUUUAUCCCUUCUUAUCUUUAGUAAGCCUUAUAUGGGCCCUGUGUCUAUCCCUACUGGCUAGCCCAUCAUAGUCCACACAAGUCCUAAGAAUUGCUUUGCCACGAUUUUGUUGUUAUAGGUGGCCUUACAAGAGGAUUUGCAUGACACCUUUUUUGGAGAUAUGUGCCAUAUAAGUGAAAGCCAACUGCCUAAAUUCAGCUGAAUCCUUUCUACUGCCUCUGUGGGUGUUUUUCUAAGAGGCACAGUAUAACUCAUGCCAAACGUAUGGAUCACCUGAAACGGCUGAUAAAGCAUCUUUAAAGCUAAGUUCUAUUAGCAUGAAAUGAUUUUGUAAAACUGUAUGUAGCAUGUGUUGAGGAAGCGUUCCCCCAGUCUCACUAAGGAAAUAACAUUUAUUACCACAAACCAGAUGUGAUGUGCUAUGCUGGGAUGACCGUUGUUGAUUCAGGGAGAGAAGGAAACAAAAGCAGGUCAUUUAAACAGAUAAACAGUGCAGAGUCAUGUAAAGGAAACUGAGAAGGGAAUGUAGAAGGACUUGUGAUAUUUCUUCAUGCAAAUAUAGUACACACUAAAGUUCCUUUUAAAAUAUAAGCUGCACACAAAUAUCUCACAAGUAAAAUGUCACUAUGUCUGUUAUCAAUACUUUAAGCAAGAUCAGAAUCAGCUCAAGAUUUCCCAGAGUAAAUUUACUGCAACCCAUACUGCACUGACAUUUCUGACAUCUUAGUGCUGCUUUUCCUUGACAUAAUGCAGCAGUCAGCCUAGGAAAAAAGAACCAUGUCCACUAUAAUAAUUUUGUAAAAACUUACCAGAAAUUGUUUUUUUGUUGUAGCACUUCUGUUUUUUUUUUGUUUGUUUGUUUUUGUUUUUUUUUUUCCCAACAGUGUCAUAUAAGGAAUAGAAUGUUUUCUUUAGCAGAACAUCUUUGCCAUUUGGUGUUCUCAAUCCCGUAUUUAAACAAUACAUUUCUCUCCGUUCUGCUGUAAACUGAUGGCAUAUUUUCAGUGCUCUGUACUUAUAAUGUGUUGCUUUAAUAAUAAAGUCAACCCUGGUCAUUAAUCUGCAAGAACAAGGGAAGGGGCAUAUGGUUACUUAGUUAUCCUGAGCUGCUGUGGUGAAGGAAUUUUAAGAAAGAACAAUUUUUAGGAGUGAAGUUUUUUCAAAGUAAAAUACUAAUGUUCAAUCUAAACAGCAGCUGUCUGAGCUGUGUGCACUGUCCGUAGACUGCAUCCACUGUUAUGAGUGUGAGCAAGCUCAUUAAAGGUCGGAUUAAUCACGAGUGAUAGCUCAUUUGUUUCAGGAAACGUAGGGGUAAUUAAUACUUAUAAACAGUUAUAAUUAUUUUUCUAUCUUUUCAUUGUGCUCCAUCUCUUUGAUUUCUUCUGAG
ensembl:lncRNA